rnacentral:rRNA from 1 species
UACAGAGGUCCCAAGCGUUGUUCGGAUUCACUGGGCGUAAAGGGUGCGUAGGCGGUCGGGUAAGUCUGAUGUGAAAUCUCACAGCUUAACUGUGAAACUGCAUUGGAUACUAUUCGGCUUGAGAGUUGGAGGGGGGACUGGAAUUUUCGGUGUAGCAGUGAAAUGCGUAGAUAUCGAGAGGAACACCGGUGGCGAAGGCGGCCCACUGGAUCGGUACUGACGCUGAGGUGCGAAAGCGUGGGGAGCAAACAGG